CGAGCUGGCGGCCUUCGCAAACCCGCGGCCGCCCCCAGCCCAAACCCAGCUCCGGGGCCGGCCGCCAGGGGGGACCCGCGGCCCUGCCCUGCCCGCCCCGCAGCCGGGGCCUGCCGGGUCUCGCCCCGCCGGGGCCCUCCCGCAGGGCCGCGGCCCCUCCGCGCCGCCGCCUCACGGCCAUGGAGGAGCCGAGGCCUCCCCGCCCUCCUCGCCCUCCUCUCCUACCUGUCCCCGGGGCCGGAGGGAGGCUGUCUGGCGGCGCCGCGGCAGGAGGCGGGCGGCUGGACUCGGCGCUGCCGCCUGUGGGCGGUGCUGAGGGGGGACCCGCGCUGCGCCCCGCCCGCCGGCUGACUGGGGUUGACCUGGCCGCCACAUGCUUAAGCGACCUCAAAGGAAGAGAAGAGAAAUCUGCUAGAAUUCCGCUGAGAGCAAGAUGGGCUGUUCCUUUACGUAAGAAAGGCAGAGGAACUUCAUACAGCAAAAACUGGAAUGCUGGAAGAGUUGCAUCACAGCUGGGCUGUCCAUCAUCACAGAGGACACCAAGAAAGAGACACCUUUGCAAUACUCCUUGUAUGAAGCACCUGAAGAAAUACUGACAGUCUGGUAAUAAAGUCUGUUUUCAAGGAUUUUAUCUGAUUUCAGAGCUCGAGAAAAAUUUUAAUCCCUCUCUCAGAACUUCCCAUCAUCAUGGAAAGACUUUUUUAUUUAUUAUUUGCAGAUAAAUAUUGUUAUUUUAUAAAUACACUGAGGCUUUCUGUGUACCAGUUAUGGUGCUAGUCUUUGCAGAGUUGUCAUUUGUUUUCUUUUUUUUUUAUCUGAAAAAGUUUUGUUUGAUAGUGGCUCGAAGAAAGCAUUCCUCUUUAUAAAUGUUGAUUCUUUCCUUCUCGUUUGUUGGAGAUAAGGAGAAUAGUCUCAAAUACUGCAAGCUGUCAUAGUUCCAUCAGUUUGGAUACUGAUUUAGAUAAUCUGCCUUACUAAUUGUAAUCAUAUAUGUUUUUCCUAAUCAGUAAUGAUCUUACGUUAAAAAUAAAGUGAGAUUUCUAUCAUCAAAACAUUAAAGUUGGGCAUUAUCUUUGGAAGAACACUAAUUUCUACGUUUAUUUUCAUUCAUAAGGAAAUGUAUAAUCAAUUCUUUCUACUCAGUUCAUUUCAAUUAGGUAAAUGUCUGGAUCUAUAUUAAUUAUGACUUAAUAUUUAAUUUUAUUAGGUAGAUAGGAUCUAAACACAGCAGGAUUGUGUUAAUUGGAACAUCUCUUUGCCCCAAAAUUGGAC
rnacentral:lncRNA from 1 species